CUGGCUCAGGACGAACGCUGGCGGCGUGCCUAACACAUGCAAGUCGAACGAAGACCAUAGAGGAGCUUGCUUUAAUAUGGUUUUAGUGGCGGACGGGUGAGUAACGCGUGAGGACUUGUCGAGUACAGGGGGACAACAGGUGGAAACGUCUGCUAAUACCCCAUAAGCCUUCGGGUAAAAGGAGCGAUCCGGUACACGAGAGACUCGCGUUCUAUCAGCUAGUAGGUGGGGUAACGGCCCACCCCAGGCCAAGACGGAUAGCCGGACUGAGAGGUCGAUCGGCCACACUGGAACUGAGACACGGUCCAGACUCCUACGGGAGGCAGCAGUGGGGAAUAUUGGGCAAUGGGGGAAACCCUGACCCAGCGACGCCGCGUGAGUGAAGAAAUCCCUCGGGAUGUAAAACUCUGUUGUGUGGGAAGACAAUGACGGUACCACACGAGGAAGCCCCGGCAAACUACGUGCCAGCCGCUGC
rnacentral:rRNA from 1 species